rnacentral:rRNA from 1 species
CCUUGCCUCCACGACUCGGCCGCGUCGACGAUGGACCUGCGUUGUAUUAGCUAGUAGGUGAGGUAACGGCUCACCUAGGCGACGAUACAUAGCCGACCUGAGAGGGUGAUCGGCCACACUGGGACUGAGACACGGCCCAGACUCCUACGGGAGGCAGCAGUAGGGAAUCUUCGGCAAUGGGGGCAACCCUGACCGAGCAACGCCGCGUGAGUGAAGAAGGUUUUCGGAUCGUAAAGCUCUGUUGUAAGUCAAGAACGAGUGUGAGAGUGGAAAGUUCACACUAUGACGGUAGCUUACCAGAAAGGGACGGCUAACUACGUGCCAGCAGCCGCGGUAAUACGUAGGUCCCGAGCGUUGUCCGGAUUUAUUGGGCGUAAAGCGAGCGCAGGCGGUUUGAUAAGUCUGAAGUUAAAGGCUGUGGCUCAACCAUAGUUCGCUUUGGAAACUGUCAAACUUGAGUGCAGAAGGGGAGAGUGGAAUUCCAUGUGUAGCGGUGAAAUGCGUAGAUAUAUGGAGGAACACCGGUGGCGAAAGCGGC